CCUAACACAUGCAAGUCGAACGGUAACAGGAAGAAGCUUGCUUCUUUGCUGACGAGUGGCGGACGGGUGAGUAAUGUCUGGGAAACUGCCUGAUGGAGGGGGAUAACUACUGGAAACGGUAGCUAAUACCGCAUAACGUCGCAAGACCAAAGAGGGGGACCUUCGGGCCUCUUGCCAUCGGAUGUGCCCAGAUGGGAUUAGCUAGUAGGUGGGGUAACGGCUCACCUAGGCGACGAUCCCUAGCUGGUCUGAGAGGAUGACCAGCCACACUGGAACUGAGACACGGUCCAGACUCCUACGGGAGGCAGCAGUGGGGAAUAUUGCACAAUGGGCGCAAGCCUGAUGCAGCCAUGCCGCGUGUAUGAAGAAGGCCUUCGGGUUGUAAAGUACUUUCAGCGGGGAGGAAGGGAGUAAAGUUAAUACCUUUGCUCAUUGACGUUACCCGCAGAAGAAGCACCGGCUAACUCCGUGCCAGCAGCCGCGGUAAUACGGAGGGUGCAAGCGUUAAUCGGAAUUACUGGGCGUAAAGCGCACGCAGGCGGUUUGUUAAGUCAGAUGUGAAAUCCCCGGGCUCAACCUGGGAACUGCAUCUGAUACUGGCAAGCU
rnacentral:rRNA from 1 species